AUGAGAUUUUAUAUAGGAAGUGUUUUCCUUUGUAUUGCAUGUACAUUGUAUAGGUAUUGCAAUUAUACAUAUACAAACUAUUUUUUAUCAGCUUUUCUUCUCCACUCUUCUUCCCCUAACUGGCUGAUGAUUUUUUCUCUUUCCUUUUUUCUUUUUUUUUUUUUUAAAAGUCCUUCACUCCAUCACAGUACUUGUUCCACUUUGUUCCUCUUCCACCAUCACACUUCAAAGACUUCCAGGAGUCAAAGUUCUUUCAACAAGCAGAUUACAAUUCCUAAAAACUCCCUGAGGACCUGAGGGCUGACUGAAAAAGGAGAUUUGCUGAAGCACUGUAUAAAAGGAGGAAGAAAGAAGUUGGAACAGUCUACAUGAAGAACAGUAUUGCAAUAAUUUUUAAAAUUUAUCAAUCUUCUGUUAGUCUGACAUCUCUCCUGCCACAUUCCUUUAGAAUCCUGGAAAACUGGAAAAGAGAAAAGAGGAAGCAUCUCAAUCUUUUCUUGGCAUUUCAUUCUCCCAGUGAAACCAUAAUCAGCUCUCACAACUUCUACUGCAAAUAUAUCUCUUGAUAACACAGCCAAUAAGACAUGUAAUUUAGUGA
rnacentral:lncRNA from 1 species